GAUGAAGAACGUAGCGAAAUGCGAUAAGUAAUGCGAAUUGCAGAAUCCGUGAGUCAUCGAAUCUUUGAACGCACAUUGCGCCCUCUGGUAUUCCGGAGGGCAUGCCUGUUCGAGCGUCAUUAUCACCCCUCAAGCCCGGCUUGUUGUUGGAUGAAGCGCUCAUCCCGCUCCUCCCAAAGAUAAUGACGGCGUCUGCGACGACUCCUGUACACUGAGCUUUCGGGCACGUACACGGCUAGAAGUCCAGACCCGGUCGCCGUCCCCCCCACGGGACACCCAUUACCACAAGGUUGACCUCGGAUCAGGUAGGAAUACCCGCUGAACUUAAGCAUAUCAAUAAGCGGAGGA
rnacentral:misc_RNA from 1 species